CCUACGGGGGGCUGCAGUGGGGAAUAUUGGACAAUGGGCGAAAGCCUGAUCCAGCCAUGCCGCGUGUGUGAAGAAGGCCUUCGGGUUGUAAAGCACUUUCAGUGGGGAAGAAAGCCUUGGGGCUAAUACCCUCGAGGAAGGACAUCACCCACAGAAGAAGCACCGGCUAACUCCGUGGCCAGCAGCCGCGGUAAUACGGAGGGUGCGAGCGUUAAUCGGAAUUACUGGGCGUAAAGCGCGCGUAGGCGGUCUGAUAAGCCGGUUGUGAAAGCCCCGGGCUCAACCUGGGAACGGCAUCCGGAACUGUCAGGCUAGAGUGCAGGAGAGGAAGGUAGAAUUCCCGGUGUAGCGGUGAAAUGCGUAGAGAUCGGGAGGAAUACCAGUGGCGAAGGCGGCCUUCUGGACUGACACUGACGCUGAGGUGCGAAAGCGUGGGUAGCAAACAGGAUUAGAUACCCGGGUAGUC
rnacentral:rRNA from 1 species